GACAGCUGCUCCUGAUCACACGAGGUCGCUGAGGUAAAGGGAGACAGAAGAAAGGGGUGAAAUACAGCGGGAGACACAAUUUGAGUGAUGCCUUUGAACGAAGACAGUGACCUUGGGCAGAGAAUCGCUGCAUAAAACACAUCGUUUUGGGAAAACAGUGGCAUCUUAGUGCUUUCUUUCAAUCCUGAGCAUGAGCUUAGCCAUGAAGCUCAGAUAUACGCACACAACGGCAGCUCGAAACACAUGAAUGAUCCAUAUGGAGCACAACCUUUCAGCUGUGAGAUUUCUCUGCAUCAGGAACCAAUCAUCUCUUGUGCCACAACACAGCUCUCCAGCAACGCUUUGAGCCGCCUCAUCUAAUGCAAGCAAGAUUAUGACGGCCCAGCAGCAACAGGAAAUGGUGGGAAGAAGGAGAAGGCGUGGGAUCGGGAAAUGACCCAAGACACGAAACCAGGUCAACAUCGUGCUAUGUGCACUACUGACCUGGCCGCACCUCUGACAAUGGAUCUGGUCUGAAACCUAGUGAGCUGCCUUAUAUGGUUACAAUAUAUAUGCAGUAGCAUAGUAACCAUCAUGGAACUUUAUGAGUGACUGAUUUGGAAUGCUCUAGGUAAUUGAUCAAGGUAAUUGAUUUCAAUAAAGUUUGGCAUCAGCAGUUAAGGCCCGUUCACACCAAGGACGAGAACUGUAACAAUAACAAUAAAGUUAUUCGAAAUGUAAAAUAAUAGCGUCCACACCACAACUAUUACGAUAAUGGCACAGAGAAAUAAUAUCGAUGGAAUCACUUUCACAAUGAUUUGUUUUUUCAGCUGAUGAAUGAUAAAAACAUUGGCAGUCAAUCAGAAUCCACCUGACGUGGUGUGAUGUGGAGUUAUCUUUAGUUAUCGCUCUUGGUGUGAAUGAGCCUUUAGUUUUCUGUAGUAUCCUAGUAACCAUUAAAACAAAUAGCACUCUCAAAUUUGGGUAAAAUGUCACAUUUUUCACACAAGACCUCAAAACAGUCAUAAGGUUCAUUUUUUUUAAAGUGAGAUUUAUAUAUCAACUGAAAGCUGACUAAAUAAGCUUCCAGUUGAUGUAUGGUUUGUUAGGAUAGGACGAUAUUUGGUCGAGAUACAACUAUUUGAAAAUCUGGAAUCUGAGGGUGCAAAAAAAUCAAAAUAUUGAGAAAAUCGCCUUUAAAGUUGUCUAAAUGAAGUCCUUAACAAUGCAUAUCCACUCACAAAAAUAAUUUUUUUAUAUAUUUACUUGUGUGACUUUUGACUGGUUUUGUGGGCCAGGGUCACACAAUAGUUUUUACUGAUGCUUUAUUAAAAUUAUUAAAUGUUAGAUGUAUAUAAUUUAUAUAUAUUAAAGCUUACAAUAAUAUUAUAUAAUAAUCAUUUAAUUUAAUUUAGUUUUAUCUAUAACAUACAUACAUAAUAUCUAAUGAUGCACAUACAUAUUUAUUUUUCUCACUUUGACCCCCAUCUCAUAAGGAUUUUUGAGGCAGCUCGCUAGUUUUUGAAACUGAUUCUGUUGAUGUGAAAAUUUGUUAAUGAAUUAGAGUGAUUCUAUCAUAUUUUUAGCAUUUUAAUACAAAACUGCAAACAAAAUAUUAACUUGCCUGGUGAAUCAGUCAAAAGCAAACGUGCUGUUUCUUAACAUAAUUCAGUUAUUAAUUAUAUUACAGUACCUUUUUUGUAAAUUAACUCUUUUUUUUUAUCAAUAAGCACUUUGGAAUAGGCAAGACAUCUAAGAAAUGAUCUUCAACAAAGACCUUCACAUCUCCCAUAGCUGAGGGUUUCAACUGAAAAGGACAUUCCUCUUAAAACUAAGGGAAAAAAGACCAAAAAACAAGGUGAUUAUCUAGAGAUCAGGUGGUCUCUUCUGUUUUGUGAAAGGAGGGAAAUCAGUAGCAUUAGUAGUGCAUGAGAAAGGUCUUCAUCUGGAAAUAAGAGAAAUGAUGUCCAGGUGAAGUGGUUAAUGUUCACUGCGGUACUAUGACAAAACCGUGAAGCCCUUCGAUUUCAUUUUAACGACUGUGAAAGGCAAAGGCUGUUAUUACGGCGUCUCUCUGUUUAACGACUCCAACAUACGACCAUUUACUUUCAGCCCUGAAGCAACUUCAGCACUCUCAAUUCACCAAAUAUUAGAAUGGCAAGCCUUAACUCGCAGUACAGACACACACACACACACAUUAAAACAUAGCUGCCAGUGCAGAUUGUCCCUCAUGAAAGUCUUUACCAUAUCAAAAGGAAUCGU